AUUGAACGCUGGCGGCAUGCCUUACACAUGCAAGUCGAACGGCAGCACGGGAGCAAUCCUGGUGGCGAGUGGCGAACGGGUGAGUAAUAUAUCGGAACGUGCCCGGUCGUGGGGAUAACGUAGCGAAAGCUACGCUAAUACCGCAUACGAUCUACGGAUGAAAGCGGGGGAUCGCAAGACCUCGCGCGAUUGGAGCGGCCGAUAUCAGAUUAGGUAGUUGGUGAGGUAAAGGCUUCACCAAGCCCGACGAUCUGUAGCUGGUCUGAGAGGACGACCAGCCACACUGGGACUGAGACAGGCCCAGACUCUACGGAGGCAGCAGUGGGGAAUUUUGGACAAUGGGCGCAAGCCUGAUCCAGCAAUGCCGCGUGC
rnacentral:rRNA from 1 species